GACAGAGGAUGCAAGCGUUAUCCGGAAUGAUUGGGCGUAAAGCGUCUGUAGGUGGUUUUUAAAGUCUUCUGUCAAAGAUUAGGGCUUAACCCUGGGCCGGCAGAAGAAACUUAGAAGCUUGAGUUCGGUAGGGGCAGAGGGAAUUCCCGGUGUAGCGGUGAAAUGCGUAGAUAUCGGGAAGAACACCAAUGGCGAAAGCACUCUGCUGGGCCGACACUGACACUGAGAGACGAAAGCUAGGGGAGCGAAUGGC
rnacentral:rRNA from 1 species